rnacentral:rRNA from 1 species
CUUAGCUUGCUAGUUUGAUGGCGACCGGCGCACGGGUGAGUAACACGUAUCCCACCUGCCGAUGACUCGGGGAUAGCCUUUCGAAAGAAAGAUUAAUACCCGAUGGCAUAGUUCUUCCGCAUGGUAGAACUAUUAAAGGAUUUCGGUCAUCGAUGGGGAUGCGUUCCAUUAGGUUGUUGGCGGGGUAACGGCCCACCAAGCCUUCGAUGGAUAGGGGUUCUGAGAGGAAGGUCCCCCACAUUGGAACUGAGACACGGUCCAAACUCCUACGGGAGGCAGCAGUGAGGAAUAUUGGUCAAUGGACGAGAGUCUGAACCAGCCAAGUAGCGUGAAGGAUGACUGCCCUAUGGGUUGUAAACUUCUUUUAUACGGGAAUAAAGUGAGGCACGUGUGCCUUUUUGUAUGUACCGUAUGAAUAAGGAUCGGCUAACUCCGUGCCAGCAGCCGCGGUAAUACGGAGGAUCCGAGCGUUAUCCGGAUUUAUUGGGUUUAAAGGGAGCGUAGGCGGGCGCUUAAGUCAGUUGUGAAAGUUUGCGGCUCAACCGUAAAAUUGCAGUUGAUACUGGGUGUCUUGAGUACAGUAGAGGCAGGCGGAAUUCGUGGUGUAGCGGUGAAAUGCUUAGAUAUCACGAAGAACUCCGAUUG